rnacentral:rRNA from 1 species
UAUUAUAAAAAUUUUUAUUUUAUAAUUAAAAUAUAAAUAAUUUGUUUAAAAUUUAAUAUUUUAAUAAAAAUAAUUUUAUUUAAUUUUUAUGUUUUAGUUAAUUUUUUAAUAAAUUUAAUAAUUUUUAUUAUUAAGUAUUGUAAAGGAAUUAUUUAAAAAUUAAUUAAGUUAAAAUUAUUAUUUUUUACCUUUUGUAUCAGGGUUUAUUAAAAUUAAAUUUUUAAAAAUUUUUCUCGAAAAAAAUUGAAUUAAAAUUUUAUAAUAAUUAUAUAUUUUAUUUUAUUUUUAAAUAAAAUUUUAGAUGUGAAAUGUUAGUCGAAAUUUUAUAUCUAGUUUUUUAAGAAAUAAAUUUAAUUUAGAUUAUAAAUAAAUAAAUUAAUGUAAUUAAUAUUUUAUUAUAUUUAUAAUUAAAUUUAUUUGGGAUAAACUAAAUAAAUUAAUUUAUAAUAAAUUUGUUUAAUAAAAUUUUUAAAGAAUAGAUUUAAAUUAAUUUUUUUUAUUUAUUAUAUUAUUAUAUAUUAAAAUUUUAUAAUAAAUUUAAAUUUAUAUUUAAUUAAUUAUUAAAAUAUUAAUUUAAAUAAAAUAAAAUUAAGUUAUAAUGAUAAAAUUAGUAAAUUUAUUUAAUAAAUAAAUUUUAUUUUAUUAUUUUAUAAUAUUAUAAGGAAUUAGGCAAAAUAAUUAUAUUCGCCUGUUUAACAAAAACAUGUCCUUUUGAUAAUUUUUUAAGGUUGAUUCUGCCCUAUGAGUAAUUAAAUGGCUGCAGUACAUUGACUGUGCGAAGGUAGCAUAAUAAUUUGUCUUUUAAUUGAAGGCUGGAAUGAAAGAGUUAACGAAAUAUAAGCUGUCUAUUAAUUAUAAAAUUUAAUUUAAAAUUUUAGUUAAAAUACUAAAAUUUUUUUAAAAGACGAGAAGACCCUAUAGAAUUUAAUUUUUAUAUUAUUUUAAGUACUUUAAUUUAUGUAUUUUUAAUUAAUUUUAAAAAUUUAAUUGGGAGGAUUUUUAUUUUAAUUAACUUUAAAAUUUUAUAAACAUUAAUUUAUGAAUUUAAAGAAUUUUUAUUAAAAAAAUUAGAUAAAUUACCUUAGGGAUAACAGCGUAAUAUUUUUAGAGAGAUCAUAUUAAAAAAAAUGUUUGCGACCUCGAUGUUGAAUUAAGAUUAAAAUUAAAUGCAGGAGUUUAAUGUUUAGGUCUGUUCGACCUUUAAAAUCUUACAUGAUUUGAGUUCAGAUCGGUGUGAGCCAGAUCGGAUUCUAUCUUUAAAUAAAAUUUAUUUUUUUGUACGAAAGGACUUUAAAUAAAAAUUAUAUUUAAAUAAAAGAAUUAAAUUAAUUUU